rnacentral:rRNA from 1 species
CCUACGGGAGGCAGCAGUGAGGAAUAUUGGUCAAUGGGCGCGAGCCUGAACCAGCCAAGUAGCGUGAAGGAUGACUGCCCUACGGGUUGUAAACUUCUUUUAUAAAGGAAUAAUGUGCCUUACGUGUGCCUUUCUGCCUGUACCUUAUGAAUAAGCAUCGGCUAACUCCGUGCCAGCAGCCGCGGUAAUACGGAGGAUCCGAGCGUUAUCCGGAUUUAUUUGGUUUAAAGGGUGCGUUGGCGGGUUGUUAAGUCAGUUGUGAAAGUUUGGGGCUUAACCGUCAAAUUGCAAUUGAUACUGGCAGGCUGGAGUACAGACGAGGUAGGCGGAAUACGUGGUGUAGCGGUGAAAUGCUUAGAUAUGACGAAGAACUCCGAUAGCGAAGGCAGCUUACCAGACUGCGACUGACGCUGAAGCACGAGAGUGUGGGUAGCGAACAGGAUUAGAUACCCUUGUAGUC